AUGCCAGGCCUUUCUCUCCUUUUCGUUUCUCUUUCAUCUUCUCGAAUCUCCUCCCACACUGAGAGUUUCUAGGUUAGAUAAUUGAAAUGGGGGCUGUAAUUUCGAACCCGGUAAAAUCAGCCAUAAGAGAUUCUGUUAAAGAUGAAGAAGUUAGGAAGGAUGGAGUUAAAUGGGAAGAUAAGGAGAUUAGAGCUGCAGGUAGUGAUUUUGUUUCUGAGCUUCUUGCGAAGGAUGAUGUAAUUAGACAAACUUCACUGAUAUUAAAAGGGGUGGAAACUAAAUUGGACCAUGCUUCCACUGGAAUUACUUAUAUUGCAAUUGGAGUAGGUUUGGGAGUACUUCUAUGUGCUAUAAAUACCAUUUAGAGACUCGUUGGUAGAACACCUCCACCACCACCGGCGGCUGCAGAGGUGGCGGCGAUUGCUGCUGCAGCUUCAGCAUCAGCAUCAGAAGCGGCCGCUUCAAGAGCAACAGAAGCGGCAGCACAAACUAUUUACUAUGCUCAAGCAGUUCUUCUUGUACCUGGACCAACUUCAGAAGAGGGUAGGAGAGAGGAAGUUUAACAUGCAACAAUGAGGUCAACAUGCAAAUAUCAUAUAUGAGAAGGGAGGUAACUGAUUAAAUCUAGGGCAACAUAAACAGAUAGACUGACUUCGGGGAAAUACAACUUAAUUACAUGCUCUUCCCACUUUUGCUGUUCAGGGAAGAUGAAAACAUAAGCUUAGCAUUUUAAAAAGCUUCAAAACUACAUACUUAUCUUUUGGGUAUGGUUUAAAACUCGUAUUCUGAUGAUUGUGAUCGUACUGAUUGAAUCUUAUUUGGGUUCAUGUGGAUUUAGUAUAUAAAAAUUAUGACCAUGGUGCUUGAAUUUUA